rnacentral:rRNA from 1 species
AUGGUCAGCAGCACCAACGAAGUGCGGAGGACGGUGCAGGAGAGGCCGGUGGUGGUGGUGGGGCGGCCGGAGUGCUGCCUGGCGGUCGUCGCCCGGCACCUGCUCCUGCGGCAGGGCGUGAACCCGGCGGCCCUGGAGGUCAGCUACGACGCCGACCCUGCGGCGCUCGUGUACGCGCUCCGGGCCAAGGACGACAACACCAAGUUGGUCACCGACGUCGCCUUACCGGUGGUGUUCGUCGGAGGUAGGCUGUUGGGUGGGCUGGACCGACUCAUUACCAUGCACAUCGCCGAAGAGCUCGUGCCGCUCCUGAGGCAGGCAGGUGCCCUGUGGCUCUGA